CAGAAAGUGAAUAAGACAACUUUAUUGCCUUGCAUUGUUAUCUACUGCACCUUAUUUGCUAUCUCCAUUUGACUCCUGUCUUCUCUCUUCUUUACCAGUCCUGUAAUGGAAGAAGAGACACAGCUGGAACAAUACUAUUUCCAGGAAAAUCCUGAGGAAUCAGCUCAGGAAGGCAUAAAUUAAAAAGAGCCUUAAGGUACUAGCAGGGAAACUUGAAGUUCUGAAGAUGUUGAUCGGUAUACAACUGAUGUACACAGAAAGAGAGCUCCUCUCAGGUGAAUGAGGAUGAAACCAGCAGCCCUGGAGGUGAGCUGGUGCGUGUGAGUCCUGCCUUUCAACUCAGUAAACUAUCUCAGAAAGAGUGAGGUCCUAAGGUGCAACAGUUGAUCUUUUCUGAGAAUAGAAUUUGCAAUAUAAAUGCAAUUUAUGUCAGCAUUUGCAGCUUCACUGUAUUUGUGGAUACUUGCUAGCUUGAAACAUCAAGUUUCAAUGAUUCUUUUUCACCAAAUUCCAGAGGUCCGUGCCCAGACCCUACAAAACAUAACAAAAAUGCUUUAAGGAUUUCCAGCUCUUCAAACAUCUUGUGUUUCAUAUUUUACCUUUAUAUUUCAUGAGAGAUGUAACAUUAUAUUAUUGCUGUAGAAUGUUGGGGAAAAAAAUGUAUGCAUGUGUACAUGGGUAUAUUGUAGAAUCAUAGAAUGGCCUGGGUUGAAAAGGACCACAAUGAUCAUCCCGUUUCAACCCCACUGCUAUGUGCAGUGUUGCCAACCACCAGACCAGGCUGCCCAGAGCCACAUACAGACUGGCCUUGAAUGCAUCCAGGGAUGGGGCAUCCACAACCUCCUUGGGCAACCUGUUCCAGUGCGUCACCACCCUCUGAGUGAAAAACUUCCUUCUAAUAUCUAACCUGAACUUCGCUGUCUUAGUUUAAAACCAUUCCCCCUUGUCCUAUUGUUUAAAACCAUUCCCCCUAGUCCCAAGCAUAUAAUGAGGAUAGACAUUCACAGCUAGGCUGAACCCAAGCCCUGUCCUGCAGAAUUAGCGAAUGGCUCCUUCUUUCUUGUCUGAAAGACCUGUACUCAGGUACUGUCUCAUCUCAAUAUUUCUAUGGAGGUUUCAUCUAUGUUCAGGGUUGGGAGGGGUCAGACAGAAAGAGG
ensembl:lncRNA